AUCACGCCUUUCUUCGCCUCAAGGUCGUCGAACAGCAGCCGCACCCGCUCGAGAUCCUCCAUCGCGUGAAGAUCUUCCAGCAGAUUGGCGUGACCGCGCACGAUCAGUUGCCGCUCAUCGCUGGCGCCGCCGGACCAGCUCGCGAUACCCGCUGCGAUCACCUUCUGCGUGAGCUGAUCGAGUUCGCUGCGUCCCGCUGUCAGCG
rnacentral:misc_RNA from 1 species